rnacentral:lncRNA from 1 species
UCUCUUUAAGGCGGUGAACAUUGUAUAAUGUUAUUUAUAACAACUGGCAUGUAUAUUUUCCAUUAGCUAAAAGUAUAAAAGACAAUGGUUUUACACAACCCAAUUAAACUAAUAUAGAUAAUUUAAUUAAGAAGCAAACAAUUAGUAAGCUAAAUUUCUCCAAGGAAUACUAUUAACAUAAAUGUAUAAUAAAAUGUUUUGACAUUACAAUGAAUACUUAUUUUUGUGACAUUGUUGAAAGCCAAGUUGACAACACCACUGCAUGAAAAAAAGUGAAUCAUAUGAAGCCUCUCAACAUCCCUUGACCUGGAAAAAAGAGAAAAAAUUAGAGAAAUGAUGGAGUAAUGCUACAAUUAAUCUACCACUCAAGUGUUUCACUUAGGCAUAUAACUUAUAAGAGUGAGUUGAAGUAAGACUUACUAUAUUUGUUAUAAUAUAUAUAAGAUAUAUAUGACCCGUUGUUACAGUACGUAUAAGAUAUAAAAUAGAAUCUGAUAUGCAUGUAGACUCGAAUAACAUAAUAAUACAUAGUUACUCUAAUUAAAUCACAUUAUCUCUUAAAUAUGCAUAGACAAAAAUAAUUGCCCUAGAAAUUUUGUCUUUAAAAGAUGAAUUACAACAAGAUUCUCACAGGUCUUUAGAAGCCACUAAUGAGCACCAAAUCGGACUUAAUCUUCUGUCAUGUCUGAUGUUGUUAGCAUCUAACAAAGCCUGCAGAGAAACAUUUGAUUUUUUCUAGAAGUAUUUGCCUUUUUUGGACUCAAACUUAACAACUUCUGUCUUUCACAAUCAUGAGGGUGUAAAUCAGUCCCAUUCUUUUUAUCUCUGGUUUUCCUUUUAGUUCUAAAAGAAAGUUAUUUAGUCUUCACAACAUUUGUAGGUUCUGACUUGGAUGCAGAUUCUUGUAAGGUAGACAUUGAGAAUUUACACCUAUUUGCAACUUCUACCAGAAAGUUCAGAGACUUCCAUUAAAUCAACAUGAGAAUUCAAAAGUCAUCUUAAAACUAUUUUUUAUGUGUGAUAACAUCUUCUGCCCUUUAUACAUUCACAUCCCAUGCAUACCUUCACACCCAAACAUCAUAAUAUCCUUGACAUGGUCACAAUUUCAAUACAGAGCAUUAACAAUUAUAAUUAUGCUUGAAUUGAAAGUUAAGGAAAUUAUAUCCAUUCAUGUUAGUUCCAAGUACCAAAAACAAAAAUAUAUCACACAACAUAUUUCACAAAGCAGAUCACAGUUUUAAUACAAUGGAAAAAAAUCAUACAGCAAACACAAAUUCAACUCAAACCCAUCAAAAAAUACACACCCCCUCCAUCUUACACACAUACAUGAAACUAAACAAAAACAAAUUACCUAAUAGGCCGUCUAUUAAAAUGAGCCCAAAAUUUAUCAUCAAAAUCAGCUUCUUCGGCCACUUUAUUCUCUGAAUCUUUGAGUUUCCACUUUAGGCUCGAAUUGAAGCAAUUAGCUUGUUGCAGACAAAAUCUACAAAAGAAAAUCAAACAUGAGAAACAGUAGAAAGCCUUGGUAAUUGAAAAGGCUAAACAAAAGAUGUUAAUUAUACAUAAUUAUACAUCCUGCAUCUACAAAACAUCCAUUUCCAAAGAAACCCAUAGCAAGCUUAAAUUACUCCCAGAACAAAAAUACAAAACAAAACUAUACAAAAAAAUCAAGAGAGAGAUAGAGAGAGAGAAUUGAAGAUACAAAACUCCAUGGUCCAAAACUAAAAUUAAAUUAGUAAAAUCAUCUCUCUCCUCAUCAUAAUAUAAUUGGUUGUUAAACUGAGCAGCAUGGUCAACGCCUCCAUCAGAAACUUAUAUGGUCCGCCGGGUCAGUGCCGAUGGCAACAGAUCUGGGAGUUUUGUCGAAAAUCAAAUAGAGAGGGGGAGGGAGGGAGGGAGGGAGAGGGGCGAAUAUAGAAAUCAGGGGAGAGAGGGAGGGAUAUGCUCUGUGACGAGAGGAAGAGAAAGAUGUAGAACAAGAGAGAUGCUCAUCUGAAUCUCUGCCUUACAAGUCUAACAUACAAGGGGGAAGUGAAAAUUUGGGUAAACAAAUAAAGGGGGGAAAUGAAAAUUUGGGUUAACCGAUAAGGGGGGAAGUGAAAACGUUUGUUGAGGGAUGAAAUUGAAUGAUACGGGAGUUAGAAAAACUAUAAAUAUAAUAUACAUAACAAAAUUAAUGUACUGUAAUAUCCAGUGUAGUUGAAUUCUUAAAAUGAGUUUUUUAUAUUUAUCUAGUUGAUUACAACAAUAUCAUAUUAAAUAAUUUUUAAAAAUAUUAAUAUUUUAUUAUGUGUAAAAUUUAUUUCCAAAAUACAAAAUUAUCUUAUAAAAUUUUCUUUUAAAAAAAUAUUUCUUUCUUAAGAGUUAAAAAUUCUCGUUUCCUCGAUCAAUUUCGAUUUUCGUACUCUUUAACUUAGAAAAAUAUUUUAUAUUACCUAUAUAUGCAAAUAUACAUUGUUCAUUUGUAAUAAAAAGAUAUCACAUAAAAUAAGAAAAUAAUUAUUUUAGCAUGUGAGUAAUUUAUUUUAGUAUGUGAAUAAUCAAUUUUUUGACAAUCCAACCGAAUUCUAAUACCAACUAAUCUAAGUAAUUAAUGAUGUGAAAAUAUAAUUAUAAAACAAGAAGACAAUCUUGUAUAAUUUAUUUAAGAAAAAUCCAGUAAAACUAUUGUAUAACAAAUUUUCUUUUUAAGAGUUAAAAAUUUUCGUUUACUUGAUCAGUUCUUGUAUUUGUAAUUAUUAAUUAGUAAUUAUUUUUGGAUUAAUAUUGUGUUAAUUAUUAAUUAUUAAUUAUUUUUGGGAUUUGACGUGAGUAUUAGUAAGUGUUUUAUGUUCACAAGUUAGGAAGUAUUGGAUAGAAAUUUUGUUAUUUACAAGAUUUGCUCUGAAUUAGUUUAUAAUCUUUUUNUUGCUCUGAAUUAGUUUAUAAUUUUUUUUAAAUGAUCUGUCCCUAUGGAUGUUAAUAACUAACAAUAUUAGUCAUGCACAAAAAAAUUUAGAUUUUUCUAUGUUUAUUUUGUAUGACAAAACUAGUCAAUCAUAAGUUUUGUCUUAUUAUAAAAAGGUAAUUUUUGUCUCAUAAUAUCUAACCGACAACGGUAUUUAUACACACAUGUGUUGUACGAGUUAAAAUAACACAACUGUUAUGGACAUUAUACCGUUGUAACAGAAUUUAUUGUCUAAAAUAGGCUCAAACAACGUUUCUGGAAAAACCCGUUGUAUGUAAAUAGUGUAGACAACGGUUUCUGGGAGGGAAACCGUUGUAUAACAAAUUUUCAUUUUUAAGCGUUAAAUAUUCACAUUUUCGUGAUCAAAUUUAUUUUUUGUUACCCUUUGUCUUAACAAAUAUAUUUAUAUUAUGCAUAUAUGCAGAUAUCUAUUGUUCAUUUGUACUAUCAAGAUAAUUUUGUAGUUCGGACGUGAGUAUUAGAAUGUGUUUUAUGUUUACAAUUUAGAUUGUACUGAAUAGAAUGUUUGUUAUGUAUACAAUUAACUCUAUAUUAAUUUAUAAAUCUUUGUUUUGAUGAUCUAACCGUACGGAUGUCGAGAACUAACAAUAUUAGUCAUGUGUAAAAAAUUUUAAAAUUAUUUAUGUUUAUUUUGUAUGUUUUUUUAACAAUACUUGUCAAUCGUAAAUUUUGUCUUAUUAUAAAAAGGUAAUCAAGGCAACCAACUGACACACAGGAGUAAAGUGCUUAUAGUGUAUACCACAGUUAGAAUCACACAAACCAAAUGGCACAUCAGAAUCAGUGAAGAACCCCACAUAAAGUUGAAACUCUUCUUGACAGAACACAAAGUGAGAGUAAAUGUCAAAGCAUGGCAUUCCAGAUAAUCUUUGAGGUAAUUUUAAAGCCUUGUUUAAAAUUUUCUCGUCAACUAGUAUAGGUUUCCCUCCCACAAUAGUAGUUAAGUGCAUUAUCCCAUCCAAUCCCCUUAUAGGCUUCAUGUUACAGUAAAACUCACCAAUUAAGUGCAAGAAAUACCUAUGAUCUAGGUCAUAAAUCAAGCUUUUCCACUCAGCAGCAAGCACUAGUUUUUCAAUUUCUCCCUUGGCUUCCACAUUGGUUCCAGGUUGGACAUUUUGGUUCAUGAGGAGAAGCUUUUUGGAGUGUGACAGAUUGGCUAGUCUUGGUGGAGGAGGUCUGAUUUUUAUGAGAUCAGGGUAGUUUUGAUAGUUUGAGGCUCUUUUGAGGGGUCUGAUAGGCUUUUUGAAGAUGGGACUUUGGUAGAAAGGAAUGGCAUUUGUGGAGGUAGUGUAUUUAGGCCUUCUGUGGUAGGUUCUUAUAGGUUUAGGUUUAGUGUAUUGAUGGAGUUUUGAAGUAGUGGAUUGUUCAAACUCGGUGGAUUCCAUGGCUUCAAGAAGGUAAGGUUGGUCUGAGGGGUUUCUUUGGUAGUUGGCAAGGAGGGGAGUGAAAUCCAUGGGAGAGAGAGAGUUGAAAUAUUUGUGCUUGCUGUGAAGUAGAGAAAGGAAAGAAUGUGUGCAUUUAUAGACAGUCAUGCAACACAGAUACAUAUACAUAUAUAUUUAUGCAGUACAGAUACACAUACAUAUAUGUCUUGCAAAUCAGUCAUGUUAUAUAUAUAUAUAUAUANCAUAUACUCAUACAUCAGUCAAGUUAUGUAUAUAUAUUAAAAUAUUAGCAUGCAAGCCACAUAUUUUCAAGCAAGAAAGGACUGCAGGCAUGUAAUCAGCAUACAAGAUUUCAAAAAUGCCACAAAAGUCUAUGCAAAACAGUGCAUAAUAGUACAUGAACAGUAUUGAAGGACUGCACAUGCCAAAUAUAUAUAUUAGAUGUGUAAGAUUAGGUGACACAGAAUUUUUGAAUGACUAGUGUUGUGACAAGUGAAGUUUUAUCAAGUACACAAGCAUUUAAGGAUUUCAGAGAAGUCAGAGCAUAAAAGAAUGUGCAGCACCCAUUUUAUUCAAAUUGUAUCCCCAAGGGUGAUUUGAUAUUGUCAGGAAGGACAAACACAGGUUCUACUCUAGGUAUUAUAUUCAUAUAUUCAGAUUUAAAGGCUCAAGAAAGCAUGACUUCACCAUAACAAUUAACUGUAGCAUCAAACAGUACAGGCAUGCAGCAACAGAUAUAUAUAUAUAUAUAUAUAUAUAUAUAUAUAUAUAUAUAUAUAUAUAUAUAAAACAUAUCACACUCAACAGAUCACACAAGCAAAUUCAGCAAACCACACUCUAUUUUGAAAAUAAUUAGUCAUACAUAAUUAUUCAGCAGUUUAUUCUAAUUUAAUUAAUAAUUUAGAGUGAUAAAAAUUUGUGUGGACGGUGGUUUUGGGAGGGUUCCAGAUACUGGAUUGCUCAAGGCACUCCAGCCAGGUCUUUCCAAGAGGGCAUUGUGUGUGCAAGUGAUUUUAAAACUUGUUUUAGUGAGAAAUUAAGUCUCCUAAUGAUAUAAUCUAACUUAUGUGCCAGAUAAGAUUAGGUCUAGUACUCCAAAUAGUAUCCAGCUGUAAUGCAUGAAGUCACAGAGCAUAAAUCAAAUCAAUUACACAUACUUAAGAGACAUACACAAGUAUAAUACACUUCAUGCAGGCAACUUAUCACACAUGACUUAUAUAAACAGUACAGAGUAUGCUCAUAUUAUUAGUCCACAAUGAAGAAUUGAGUUAUGCAGGUCAUAUGGUGAUAAGGUGCUCACCCUAAGGGGUUAACUUAUUACAGCCAAGAGAUAGUAAUCUGACAUACUGGACACCAGAAUUAGACUAAGCAACUUAAUCAAUUGUAUUAAGUUAUCCAUAUUUGUUGAUGACAAGAUACAGUUGAUCAAGACAGAGAAGGGCAUAACCAUGUUAGUGACUUAAGAAUAUUUGAUCAAGUUUCAUUUUUGUUAAAAGUCAUAUCAAGGAAAUUUAACACUGGAUAUACAUUAACAGUAAAGAUGAGAUUUAAAUUAGUUUAUAGUUCAACUAAUCAACUUAAUUCUUCUAAUUUAUCAAGUGUUAAAGUACAUAAGCUGUUUACAUAGACCAUACCAGUUAUACAAGUAGAUGGACAGAUGACAAUUCACCAGGACUAUAUAGAUUACAAACUUGUCAUAUGUAGACAUUUAGGAAUAAUAGCAAAAAAUACUCCUUCACAUAGAAUUUCAAUUUAGACAGUUAUGGAUAUAUCACAUAAUACAAAUCCACCAAUCUUAUAACUAAUGGCACAUCAUAGCAGCCUUUUCAAAUAUCAAAUUUUCAUGACCGACUUACAAUGUUCAUUAGAAAUUAGUCCAAGUAAAAUUGAUACAGAUGAUGAAUAGCAAAUCAAGGACUAAUAAGCAUCCAGUUAAGUAGUUAACUCAGGUAAUUAGCACAGAGCAAGAACAAGAGCAUCCUACAGACGUAUGAUCAAAUUAUCACUUAUCCAAACAACUAAUCAUCAGAAUCAUCAGCCAACACAUCAAAUUACCAAAAUUUCAACUCAUUCGAAACAGAGCAGCUUCAAGUCAUUUAGGGUUUUAAAUAUCUUACCUCCACUCGUGGAGUUUAUACACACAAGCUCAUAACUUAAUCAGAACACAAGACUUAAAUCGAGUUUGGGCUUGAAUUCGCACAUAUCAGGUACAGUGCAGCUAUACCAUCACCGAGCUCUGUCAAGCACCACCGAGCGUCUUUUGAUUCCAUUCGAAUCACCUUUAAUUCCCUCUGUAUGCUUCACUUCGACCAAAUUAGCCAUAUUCUUGCAAAUUUCUUGAAGAGCCAAGGUUAGGGUUUGAGAAGAAAUUAAUUCAAAUCAUAGACACAAGUGAGUAUUAUAGAAAUCAAAUUAAAAGCUAUAAAAACCAUGUCGGAUUUGAACCUAAACUCAAGAUCCAUAGAGGGAUUCGAGUCUCAUCGAUUCAAACCCUUUUUCUAUAUACCAAACCAGCCGUAUUGCUUCAAUUAACUGAGAUAUAGAGCAAGAGAAGAAUGAAAUCAACAAUCGAUCUCCGAAAGCACCCAUUAUAAAUUAGGGUUUAGUCGGUGAAGACUAUAGAGAGUUCGAGAGAGACACAGAGAGGAGAGACGAGAGAGAAGGU